CAAAGAUCUUUUCUUUGGUCCAUAGGGUACGAGUUGUAGGCCGGGAUGUCUCUGCAGCGCCACAAUACUUAUUUUAGAAUGGUUUGACACAUAUUGUGCCUUUAACAAAUAUUGUACUACCCUACCAUUUGGACAGUGCA